rnacentral:rRNA from 1 species
AGUGAACGCUGGCGGUAGGCCUAACACAUGCAAGUCGAACGGCAGCACAGUAAGAGCUUGCUCUUACGGGUGGCGAGUGGCGGACGGGUGAGGAAUACAUCGGAAUCUACUUUUUCGUGGGGGAUAACGUAGGGAAACUUACGCUAAUACCGCAUACGACCUACGGGUGAAAGCAGGGGAUCUUCGGACCUUGCGCGAUUGAAUGAGCCGAUGUCGGAUUAGCUAGUUGGCGGGGUAAAGGCCCACCAAGGCGACGAUCCGUAGCUGGUCUGAGAGGAUGAUCAGCCACACUGGAACUGAGACACGGUCCAGACUCCUACGGGAGGCAGCAGUGGGGAAUAUUGGACAAUGGGCGCAAGCCUGAUCCAGCAAUACCGCGUGGGUGAAGAAGGCCUUCGGGUUGUAAAGCCCUUUUGUUGGGAAAGAAAAGCAGCAGGUUAAUACCCCGCUGUUAUGACGGUACCCAAAGAAUAAGCACCGGCUAACUUCGUG